rnacentral:rRNA from 1 species
CCUACGGGAGGCAGCAGUGAGGAAUUUUCCGCAAUGGGCGAAAGCCUGACGGAGCAAUGCCGCGUGGAGGAGGAAGGCCUGUGGGUCGUAAACUCCUUUUCUCAGAGAAGAAGUUCUGACGGUAUCUGAGGAAUAAGCAUCGGCUAACUCUGUGCCAGCAGCCGCGGUAAUACAGGGGAUGCAAGCGUUAUCCGGAAUUAUUGGGCGUAAAGCGUCCUGAGGUGGCUUACCCAGUCGACUGUGAAAGCUCAAGGCUUAACCUUGAAACGGCAGUCGAAACUUGUAAGCUUGAGUACGGUAGGGGCAGAGGGAAUUCCCGGAGGAGAGGUGAAAUUCGUAGAUAUCGGGAGGAAGGCCAAAGGCGAAAGCACUCUGCUGGGCCGAUUACUGACACUGACAGACGAAAGCUAGGGGAGCGAAAGGGAUUAGAUACCCCUGUAGUCCUAGCCGUAAACGAUGGAUACUAAGUGUUGCGCGACUCAAAACGUGCAGUGCUGCAGCUACGACGUAGUACUCCGCCGUCGGUAGUAGUGCCGCCGACGGUAGGAACGUACGAAGAAGUAGUAGACGAGUAGAGAGCGACGACGACGACGACGGAGGAGGAG